GAACUUGAGUUUGUGGCAAUUGUUAACAUUGAGUCUGUAUUUUUCUCUGAACAUUAGUUGGUGGCAAUUGUUGAACUUGAGUUCGUGUGUUUGUUGAACUUGAGUUUUUGUCGUUUAGAACUUGAGUUUGUGGUGUUUUUGAACUUGAGGUUUUGGCAAAUGUUAAACUUGAUAUUUGGGUGUUGUUUGAACUUGAGUUUGUGUCGUGUUUGAACUUGAAGUUGUGUCGUGUUUGAACUUGAGUUUGUGUCGUGUUUGAACUUGAGUUUGUGUCAUGUUUGAACUUGAGUGUUGUGUUUGAACUUGAGUUUGUUGCAAUUUUUGAACUUGAGUUUUUAACUUGAGUCUGGUUUUUAGUGAACUUUAUUUGGUGGCAAUUGUUAAACUUGAGUUUGUGUGUUUGUUGAACCUGAGUUUGUGUCGUGUUUGAACUUGAGAUUUUGCUGUUUUGUGAUCUUGAAUUUGUGUGGGUUUUUUUAACUUGAGUUUUUGGUGUUUUUGAAUUUGAGUUUCUGUUGUUUUUGAACAUGAGGUUGUGGCAAUUUGUUAAACUUGAGAUUUGGGUGUUGGUAGAAAUUAAGUUUUGGCAUUUUUGAACUUGAGUUUGUGGUGUUUUUGAACUUGAAUUUGUGUGUUUUUUGAACCUGAGUUUGUUGAACUUGAGUUUUUGGCAAUUCUUUAAUGUUAAUAUAGGUUAUUUGUUGAAUUUGAAAUUUUGGCAUUUUUUGAACUUAAGCUUGUGGUGUUUGUUGAACUUGAGUUUGUGGCAAUUGUUAACACUGAGUCUGUAUUUUUCUCUGAACAUUAGUUGGUGGCAAUUGUUGAACUUGAGUUCGUGUGUUUGUUGAACUUGAGUUUUUGUCGUUUAGAACUUGAGUUUGUGGUGUUUUUGAACUUGAGGUUUUGGCAAAUGUUAAACUUGAUAUUUGGGUGUUGUUUGAACUUGAGUUUGUGUCGUGUUUGAACUUGAGUUUGUGUCGUGUUUGAACUUGAGUUUGUGUCGUGUUUGAACUUGAGUUUGUGUCAUGUUUGAACUUGAGUGUUGUGUUUGAACUUGAGUUUGUUGCAAUUUUUGAACUUGAGUUUUUAACUUGAGUCUGGUUUUUAGUGAACUUUAUUUGGUGGCAAUUGUUAAACUUGAGUUUGUGUGUUUGUUGAACCUGAGUUUGUGUCGUGUUUGAACUUGAGAUUUUGCUGUUUUGUGAUCUUGAAUUUGUGUGGUUUUUUUUUACUUGAGUUUUUGGUGUUUUUGAAUUUGAGUUUCUGUUGUUUUUGAACAUGAGGUUGUGGCAAUUUGUUAAACUUGAGAUUUGGGUGUUGGUUGAAAUUAAGUUUCGGCAUUUUUGAACUUGAGUUUGUGGUGUUUUUGAACUUGAAUUUGUGUGUUUUUUGAACCUGAGUUUGUUGAACUUGAGUUUUUGGCAAUUCUUUAAUGUUAAUAUAGGUUAUUUGUUGAAUUUGAAAUUUUGGCAUUUUUUGAACUUAAGCUUGUGGUGUUUGUUGAACUUGAGUUUGUGGCAAUUGUUAACAUUGAGUCUGUAUUUUUCUCUGAACAUUAGUUGGUGGCAAUUGUUGAACUUGAGUUCGUGUGUUUGUUGAACUUGAGUUUUUGUCGUUUAGAACUUGAGUUUGUGGUGUUUUUGAACUUGAGGUUUUGGCAAAUGUUAAACUUGAUAUUUGGGUGUUGUUUGAACUUGAGUUUGUGUCGUGUUUGAACUUGAGUUUGUGUCGUGUUUGAACUUGAGUUUGUGUCGUGUUUGAACUUGAGUUUGUGUCAUGUUUGAACUUGAGUGUUGUGUUUGAACUUGAGUUUGUUGCAAUUUUUGAACUUGAGUUUUUAACUUGAGUCUUUGGUUUUUAGUGAACUUUAUUUGGUGGCAAUUGUUAAACUUGAGUUUGUGUGUUUGUUGAACCUGAGUUUGUGUCGUGUUUGAACUUGAGAUUUUGCUGUUUUGUGAUCUUGAAUUUGUGUGGGUUUUUUUAAACUUGAGUUUUUGGUGUUUUUGAAUUUGAGUUUCUGUUGUUUUUGAACAUGAGGUUGUGGCAAUUUGUUAAACUUGAGAUUUGGGUGUUGGUUGAAAUUAAGUUUCGGCAUUUUUGAACUUGAGUUUGUGGUGUUUUUGAACUUGAAAUUGUGUGUUUUUUGAACCUGAGUUUGUUGAACUUUUUUGGCAAUUCUUUAAUGUUAAUAUAGGUUAUUUGUGUAAUUUGAAAUUUUGGCAUUUUUUGAACUUAAGCUUGUGGUGUUUGUUGAACUUGAGUUUGUGGCAAUUGUUAACAUUGAGUCUGUAUUUUUCUCUGAACAUUAGUUGGUGGCAAUUGUUGAACUUGAGUUCGUGUGUUUGUUGAACUUGAGUUUUUGUCGUUUAGAACUUGAGUUUGUGGUGUUUUUGAACUUGAGGUUUUGGCAAAUGUUAAACUUGAUAUUUGGGUGUUGUUUGAACUUGAGUUUGUGUCGUGUUUGAACUUGAGUUUGUGUCGUGUUUGAACUUGAGUUUGUGUCGUGUUUGAACUUGAGUUUGUGUCAUGUUUGAACUUGAGUGUUGUGUUUGAACUUGAGUUUGUUGCAAUUUUUGAACUUGAGUUUUUAACUUGAGUCUGGUUUUUAGUGAACUUUAUUUGGUGGCAAUUGUUAAACUUGAGUUUGUGUGUUUGUUGAACCUGAGUUUGUGUCGUGUUUGAACUUGAGAUUUUGCUGUUUUGUGAUCUUGAAUUUGUGUGGGUUUUUUUUAACUUGAGUUUUUGGUGUUUUUGAAUUUGAGUUUCUGUUGUUUUUGAACAUGAGGUUGUGGCAAUUUGUUAAACUUGAGAUUUGGGUGUUGGUUGAAAUUGAGUUUGUGGUGUUUUUGAACUUGAGUUUGAUGUGUUUUUGAACUUGAAUUUGUGUGUUUUUUUAACCUGAGUUUGUUGAACUUGAGUUUUUGGCAAUUCUUUAAUGUUAAUAUAGGUUAUUUGUUGAAUUUGAAAUUUUGGCAUUUUUUGAACUUAAGUUUGUGGUGUUUGUUGAACUUGAGUUUGUGGCAGUUGUUAACAUUGAGUCUGUAUUUUUCUCUGAACAUUAGUUGGUGGCAAUUGUUGAACUUGAGUUCGUGUGUUUGUUGAACUUGAGUUUUUGUCGUUUAGAACUUGAGUUUGUGGUGUUUUUGAACUUGAGGUUUUGGCAAAUGUUAAACUUGAUAUUUGGGUGUUGUUUGAACUUGAGUUUGUGUCGUGUUUGAACUUGAGUUUGUGUCGUGUUUGAACUUGAGUUUGUGUCGUGUUUGAACUUGAGUUUGUGUCAUGUUUGAACUUGAGUGUUGUGUUUGAACUUGAGUUUGUUGCAAUUUUUGAACUUGAGUUUUUAACUUGAGUCUUUGGUUUUUAGUGAACUUUAUUUGGUGGCAAUUGUUAAACUUGAGUUUGUCGCGUGUUUGAACUUGAGUUUGUGUUGUUUUUUAACUUGAGGUUUUGGCAAUUGUUAAUCUUUAGUUUUGGGUGUUGGUUGAACUUAAAACUUUGACAUUUGUUGAACUUGACUUUGUGGUGUCCAUUUAACUUGAGUUUGUGGUGUUUUUGAACUUGAAUUUUUGUGUUUUUUUGAACUUGAGUUUGUGGUGUUUUUGAACUUGAAUUUGUGUGUUUUUUGAACUUGAGGUUGUUGCAAUUUUUGAACUUGAGUUUGUUGAACUUGAGUUUUUGGCAAUUGUUAAAUGUGAGUUUAGGUCAUUUGUUGAAUUUGAAAUUUUGGCAUUUUUUGAACUUAAGAUUGUGGUGUUUGUUGAACUUGAGUUUGUGGCAAUUGUUGAACUUGAGUCUGUAUUUUUCUCUGAACUUUAGUUUGAAUUUUUGUAUUUUUUUUUAAUUUAAGUUUGUGGCAAUUGUUAAACUUGAGAUUUGGGUGUUGGUUGAACUUGAGUUUGUGGUGUUUUUGAACUUGAGUUUGUGUGUUUGUUUAACUUGAGUUUGUGGCGUGUUUUGACUUGAGUUUCUGUUGUUUUUGAACUUGAGGUUGUGGCAAUUGUCAAACUUGAGAUUUGGGAUUUGGUUGAACUUGAGUUUGUGUCGUGUUUGAACUUUGGUUUGUGGUGCUUUUUAACUUGAGUUUGUGGCGGUGUUGAGCUUGAGUUUGUGGCGUGUUUUAACCUGAAUUUUUGUUGUUUUUCUUACUUGAGGCUUUGGCAAUUGUUAAACUUUAGAUUUGGGUGUUGGUUGAACUUAAAACUUUGACAUUUGUUGAACUUAUGUAUGUGGUGUUCACUGAACUUCAGUUUGUGUCUUGUUUGAACUUGACUUUGUGGUGUUUUUGAACUUGAGUUGGUGGUGUUUUUGAACUUGAGUUGGUGGAAAUUGUUGAACUUGAGAAUUGGGUGUUGGUUGAACUUGAGUUUGUGGUGUUUUUGAACUUGAGUUUGAGUUUGUUUGUUUGUUGAACUUGAGUUCGUGGCGUGUUUGAACUUGAGUUUGUGUUCUUUUUGAACUUGAGGUUGUGGAAAUUGUUAAACUCGCCCUCCUCGAGCCCCUUCCUGCCUUUCACGAGCCAUCAUGAAAGGCGAUAGCAGGGAGCGCACGCGAGGUUCAGUUCAGGGCCCCCGUUCUCCACGUUGGCAGGGGUGAAAGGCCAGCGGCAGGAAGAGCACCUUCCCGCCCUCCACGUGCCAUCAUGAAGGCGGAGGAGGCAGGGGUAGAGCAGCAAUGAACAGAACCCCCCCAAAACAACCAUGCCGUGCAGUCUAGGAGCUAGCAGGGGAGGUGAGCGCUGCUGAAAGAAAGACGGGUUAGAGAGACCCGUUGCCCAAGCAUGGUGCGCACUGGUGCUCCCACUUGGAGUUUAUUUGUAAGCAAAUACCACUCACUCUCAAGCGGCAUGGUCCUAUUGGAUUACUUCGGUUAUAACGCAGAGUGCAGACUGAUGUGCAGCAACAGACUAAGCCUAGAUACAUGACAGGGGUGAAAACUUUAAACAGCUGAUUAUGUCUUCCCGAAAUGGCGUACUGCUGCGUAAUGGCUUACUUUCACCUCCAGGUGAGAGAAAGACCCGCAGAUUAAGCAGGAAAAAGCUUGAUGCUCGGUGAAUUGUUAACUGAUUAGAGCCAGGUCGACUACGGACUGAUCAAGUCUUUGGCUGAAUCUUUGAAUGUACUUAGCAGCUUUGCUGAAAAUGAUUUGUAAUGUUCCUAGAAUAAUGAUCCUCCCUAUGUCAUGGCUGAAUCAGAAAUAAUGGCGAGAUAUGUGUCCAGUUCAGUUCUGCGUGCUGAAAACACUUUACAUAUGACAUCUACAAAUACGCUGAAAGCUAUGAAUUCAGCCAAGGUCGGAGAUUUAAACAGCCGGGCAUCACGAUAUUUAAGCAUCACAGGCUCAUCUCCGCAAUCCACAAUGCGUCUAUCAUUGUAGUCUGAGCACAGCAAGACUAAUGUCAGUACCUGCAAGGAUUUGGCUCCGCGGAUUAGGUGUAAUUGCAGCCGCGACCAGGUCGCGUCGCGUCGCGUGGUGCUCUGGUGUGUUCACACCGGGUCCAAAGCUGCGGUCGCAGGACACGGCUGGUCGCUGCUGACCCGCUUCUCCUACCUUCCAUCUCCCUCCUUUUCUCCCUCAUAUAUACAUCCCGCAGCCCAGUUCAAAUAUUUGAACUUUGGGAGCGACGAGACUUGGCGUCCUGCGACCUCGGAAACGCAACUUCGGCAACGCGACGCAGGUAGCCAGCGGUCGCCAAGUCGCGUCAGGUCGCGGCUGUCCAUAGACUUUGCAUUGGGAGCCAUCGCCGACGUCACCGAAGUCGCGUUUGGUCUGAACACCCCUUAACGCUAAGCUUCAUAUUUGGAUAUUGGUUGACUUGAGUUUCUGUGUUUGUUGAACUUGAGUUUGUGACAUGUUUGAACUUGAAUUUGUGGUGUUUUUGAACUUGAGUUUGUGUGUUUGUUGAACUUGAGUUUGUGGCGUGUUUGAACUUGAGUUUGUGUUGUUUUUGAACUUGAGGUUUUGGCAAAUGUUAAACUUGAGAUUUGGGUGUUGGUUGAACUUGAGUUUGUGUCGUAAUUGAACUUGAUUUUUUUGCAAUUUUUGAACUUGAGUUUGUUGAACUUGAGGUUGUGGAAAUUGUUAAACUUGAGAAUUGGGUAUUGAUUGAACUUGAGUUUGUGUGUUUGUUAAACUUCAGUUUGUCUCGUGUUAGAACUUGAGUUUCUGUUGUUUUUGAACUUGAGGUUGUGGCAAUUGUUAAACUUGAGAUUUGGGUGUUGGUUGAACUUGAGUUUGUGUCAUGUUUGAACUUGAGUUUGUGGUGUUUUUUAACUUGAGUAUGUGUGGUUUUUUAACUUAGUUUUGUGGCAAUUGUUAAACUUGAGAUUUGGGUGUUGGUUGAACUUGGGUUUGUGGUGUUUUUGAACUUGAGUUUGUGUCUUUGUUGAACUUGAGUUUGUGGCGUGUUUUAACUUGAGUUUCUGUUGUUUUUGAACUUGAGGUUGUGGCAAUUGUUGAACUUGAGAUUUGGGUGUUGGUUGAACUUGAGUUUGUGUCAUGUUUGAACUUGAGUUUGUGGUGUUUUUGAACUUGAGUUUGUGUGGUUUUUUAACUUAGUUUUGUGGCAAUUGUUAAACUUGAGAUUUGGGUGUUGGUUGAACUUGGGUUUGUGGUGUUUUUGAACUUGAGGGUGUGGAAUAUGUUAUAUUGAGAAAUUGGUAUUGGUUGAACUUGAGUUUUUGGUGUUUUUGAACUUGAGUUUUUGGAAAUUGUUAAACUUGAGAAUCAGGUGUUUGAUGAACUUGAGUUAGUGUUUGUUGAACUUGAGUUUGUGUCGUGUUGGAACUUAAUCUCGUGUUGUUUGUUGAAUUGAGUUUGUGUGUUUUUGAACUUGAGGUUGUGAAAAUUUUUAAACUUGAGAAUCAGGUAAUGGUUGAACUUGAGUUUGUGGUUUUUGUUGAACAUGAGUUUGUCUCGUUUUUGAACUUGAUUUUUGGUGUUUUUGAACUUGAGCAUGUGUUGUUUUUGAACUUGAGGUUGUGGAAAUUGUUAAACUUGAGAAUUGGGUAUUGGUUGAACUUGAUUUUUUUGUGUUUUGAACUUGAGUUUGUGUCGUGUUUGAACUUGAGUUUGUAGCGAGUUUGGCCAUGAGUUUGUGUUGUUUUUGAACUUGAGUUUUUGUGUUCGUUGAACUUGAGUGUGUUUCAUGUUUGAGCUUGAGAUUGUGGUGGUUUUGAACUUGAGUUAGUGUGUUUGUUGAACUUGAGUUUUUGGUGUUUUUGAACUUGAGGUUGUUGAAAUUGUUAAACUUGAGAAUUGGGUAUUGGUUGAACUUGAGUUUGUGAUUUUGUUGAACUUGAGUUUGGUUCGUGUUUUAACUUGAUUUUGUGAUGUUUUUGAAUUUGAGUUUGUGGUGUUUUUGAAUUUGAGUUUGUAGCGUGUUUGGCCAUGAGUUUGUGUUGUUUUUGAACUUGAGUUUUUGUGUUCGUUGAACUUGAGUGUGUUUCAUGUUUGAGCUUGAGAUUGUGGUGUUUUUGAACUUGAGUUAGUGUGUUUGUUGAACUUGAGUUUGUGUUGUGUUUGAACUUUAGUUUGUGGCGUUUUUUGAGCUUGAUUUUGUGUCGUGUUUGAACUUGAGUUUGUUGGUUUUUUUGAACUUGAGUUUGUGUCGUGUUUGAACUUGAGUUUGUGUGUUUUUUGAACUUGAGUUUGUGUGGUUUUUGAACUUGAGUUUGUUUCGUGUUUGAACUUGAGUUUGUGGCGUUUGUUGAAUUUGAGUUUGUGUCAUGUUUGAACUUGAGUUUGUGGUGUUUUUGAACUUGAGUUUGUGUGGUUGGUUGAACUUGAGUUUCUGUUGUUUUUGAACUUGAGGUUGUGGAAAUUGUUAAACUUGAGAAUCAGGUGUUGGUUGAACUUGAGUUUGUGUGUUUGUUGAACUUGAGUUUUUGGUGUUUUUGAACUUGAGGUUGUUGAAAUUGUUAAACUUGAGAAUUGGGUAUUGAUUGAACUUGAGUUUGUGAUUUUGUUGAACUUGAGUUUGGUUCGUGUUUUAACUUGAGUUUGGGGAGUUUUUUUAAUUUGAGUUUGUGGUGUUUUUGAACUUGAGUUUGUGUUGUGUUUGAACUUGAGUUUGUGGUGUUUUUGAACUUGAGUUUGUGUGUUUGUUGAACUUGAGUUUGUGUUGUGUUCGAACUUGAGUUUGUGGUGAUUUUGAACUUGAGUUUGUGACGUGUUUGAACUUGAGUUUGUGGUGUUUUUGAACUUGAGUUUGUGGUGUUUUUGAACUUGAGUUUGUGGUGUUUUUGAACUUGGGUUUGUGGUGUUUUUGAACUUGAGUUUUUGGAAAUUGUUAAACUUGAGAAUCAGGUGUUUGAUGAACUUGAGUUAGUGUUUGUUGAACUUGAGUUUGUGUCGUGUUGGAUCUUGAGCUCGUGUUGUUUGUUGAAUUGAGUUUGUGUGUUUUUUGAACUUGAGGUUGUGUGUUUGUUGAACUUGAGUUUGUGUUGUGUUUGAACUUUAGUUUGUGGCGUUUUUUGAGCUUGAUUUUGUGUCGUGUUUGAACUUGAGUUUGUUGGUUUUUUUUAACUUGAGUUUGUGUCGUGUUUGAACUUGAGUUUGUGUGUUUUUUGAACUUGAGUUUGUGUGGUUUUUGAACUUGAGUUUGUUUCGUGUUUGAACUUGAGUUUGUGUCGUGUUUGAACUUGAGUUUGUGUGUUUUUUGAACUUGAGUUUGUGUGGUUUUUGAACUUGAGUUUGUUUCGUGUUUGAACUUGAGUUUGUGGCGUUUGUUGAAUUUGAGUUUGUGUCAUGUUUGAACUUGAGUUUGUGGUGUUUUUGAACUUGAAUUUGCCUGUUUGGUUAACCUGAGUUUCUGUUGUUUUUGAACUUGAGGUUGUGGAAAUUGUUAAACUUGAGAAUCAGGUGUUGGUUGAACUUGAGUUUUUGGUGUUUUUGAACUUGAGGUUGUUGAAAUUGUUAAACUUGAGAAUUGGGUAUUGGUUGAACUUGAGUUUGGGAUUUUGUUGAACUUGAGUUUGGUUCGUGUUUUAACUUGAGUUUGUGAUGUUUUUGAACUUGAGUUUGUGUGUUGGUUGAACUUGAGUUUGUGUUGUGUUUGAACUUGAGUUUGUGGUGUUUUCUAACUUGAGUUUGUGUGUUUGUUGAACUUGAGUUUCUGUUGUAUUUGAACUUGAGGUUGUUGAAAUUGUUAAACUUGAGAAUCGGGUAUUGGUUGAACUUGAGUUUGUGAUUUUGUUGAACGUGAGUUUGGUUCCUGUUUUAACUUGAGUUUGUGAUGUUUUUGAACUUGAGUUUGUGUGUUUGUUGAACUUGAGUUUGUGUUGUGUUCGAACUUGAGUUUGUGGUGUUUUGAUCUUGAGGUUGUGGAAAUUGUUAAACUUGAGAAUUGGGUAUUUGUUGAACUUGCGUUUUUAUGUUUUUUUAAUUGGGUUUGUGUAGUGUUUGAACCUGAGUUUGUGGUGUUUUUGAACUUGAGGUGCGUGUUUGGUGACCUUAAGUUUGUGUGUUUUUUGAACUUUAGUAUCUGUUGUUUUGAACUUGAACUUGAGGGUGUGGAAUUUGUUAAACUUGAGAAUUGGGUUUUGGUUGAACUUGAGUUUGUGGUGUUUUUGAACUUGAGUUUGUUUCGUGUUUGAACUUGAGUUUGUGGCGUUUGUUGAACUUGAGUUUGUGUCGUGUCUGAACUUGAGUUUGUGGUGUUUUUGAACAUGAGUUUGUGGUGUUUUUGAACUUGAGGGUGUGGAAUUUGUUAAACUUGAGAAUUGGGUAUUGGUUGAACUUGAGUUUGUGUGUUUGUUGAACUUGAGUUUGUGUCGAGUUUGAACUUGAGUUUGUGGUGUUUUUUUACUUGAUUUUGUGUGUUUGUUGAACUUGAGUUUGUGUUUGAACUUGAGUUUGUGGAGUUUUUGAACUUGAGUUUGUGUCGUGUUUUAACUUGAGUUUGUGUGUUUGUUUAACUUGAUUUUGUGUUAUGUUUGAACUUGAGUUUGUGGUGUUUUUGAACUUGAGUUUGUGUGUUUGAUGAACUUGAGUUUGUAUUGUGUAUGAACUUGAGUUUGUGUUUUUUUUAACUUGAGUUUGUGUGUUUGUUGAACUUGAGUUUGUUUCUUGUUUGAACUUGAGUUUGGGGCGUUUGUUGAACUUGAGUUUGUGUUGUGUUUGAACUUGAGUUUGUGGUGUUUUUGAACUUGAAUUUGGCUGUUUGGUUAACUUGAUUUUCUGUUGUUUUUGAACUUGAGGUUGUGGAAAUUGUUAAACUUGAGAAUCAGGUGUUGGUUGAACUUGAGUUUGUGUGUAUGUUGAACUUGAGUUUUUGGUGUUUUUGAACUUGAGGUUUUUGAAAUUGUUAAACUUGAGAAUUGGGUAUUGGUUGAACUUGAGUUUGUGAUUUUGUUGAACUUGAGUUUGGUUCGUGUUUUAACUUGAGUUUGUGAUGUUUUUGAACUUGAGUUUGUGUGUUGGUUGAACUUGAGUUUGUGUUGUGUUUGAACUUGAGUUUGUGGUGUUUUCUAACUUGAGUUUGUGUGUUUGUUGAACUUGAGUUUCUGUUGUGUUCGAACUUGAGGUUGUUGAAAUUGUUAAACUUGAGAAUUGGGUAUUGGUUGAACUUGAGUUUGUGAUUUUGUUGAACUUGAGUUUGGUUCGUGUUUUAACUUGAGUUUGUGAUGUUUUUGAACUUGAGUUUGUGUGUUUGUUGAACUUGAGUUUGUGUUGUGUUCGAACUUGAGUUUGUGGUGUUUUGAUCUUGAGGUUGUGGAAAUUGUUAAACUUGAGAAUUGGGUAUUUGUUGAACUUGCGUUUUUAUGUUUUUUUAAUUGGGUUUGUGUGGUGUUUGAACCUGAGUUUGUGGUGUUUUUGAACUUGAGGUGCUUGUUUGGUGACCUUAAGUUUGUGUGUUUUUUGAACUUUAGUAUCUGUUGUUAUUUGAACUUGAAGUUGUGGGUUUUUUUUAACUUGAGGGUGUGGAAUUUGUUAAACUUGAGAAUUGGGUUUUAGUUGAACUUGAGUUUGUGGUGUUUUUGAACUUGAGUUUGCUUCGUGUCUGAACUUGAGUUUGUGGUGUUUUUGAACAUGAGUUUGUGGUGUUUUUGAACUUGAGGGUGUGGAAUUUGUUAAACUUGAGAAUUGGGUAUUGGUUGAACUUGAGUUUGUGUGUUUGUUGAACUUGAGUUUGUGUCGAGUUUGAACUUGAGUUUGUGGUGUUUUUUUACUUGAUUUUGUGUGUUUGUUGAACUUGAGUUUGUGUGUUUUUUUAACUUGAGUAUCUGUUGUUUUUUGAACUUGAAGUAGUGGUUUUUUUUAACUUGAGGGUGUGGAAUUUGUUAAACUUGAGAAUUGGGUAUUUGUUGAACUUGCUUUUUUAUGUUUUUUUAAUUGGGUUUGUGUAGUGUUUGGACCUUAGUUUGUCGUGUUUUUGAACUUGAGGUGCGUGUUUGGUGACCUUAAGUUUGUGUGUUUUUUGAACUUUAGUAUCUGUUGUUUUUUGAACUUGAAGUUGUGGUUUUUUUUAACUUGAGGGUGUGGAAUUUCUUAAACUUGAGAAUUGGGUUUUGGUUGAACUUGAGUUUGUGGUGUUUUUUAACUUGAGUUUGUUUCGUGUUUGAACUUGAGUUUGUGGCGUUUGUUGAACUUGAGUUUCUGUUGUUUUUGAACUUGAAUUUGUGUCGUGUUUGAACUUGAGUUUGUGGCGUUUGUUGAACUUGAGUUUGUGUCGUGUCUGAACUUGAGUUUGUGGUGUUUUUGAACAUGAGUUUGUGGUGUUUUUGAACUUGAAUUUGUGUCGUGUUUGAACUUGAGUUUGUGGCGUUUGUUGAACUUGAGUUUGUGUCGUGUCUGAACUUGAGUUUGUGGUGUUUUUGAACAUGAGUUUGUGGUGUUUUUGAACUUGAGGGUGUGGAAUUUGUUAAACUUGAGAAUUGGGUAUUGGUUGAACUUGAGUUUGUGUGUUUGUUGAACUUGAGUUUGUGUCGAGUUUGAACUUGAGUUUGUGGUGUUUUUUUACUUGAUUUUGUGUGUUUGUUGAACUUGAGUUUGUGUUUGAACUUGAGUUUGUGGUGUUUUUGAACUUGAGUUUGUGUCGUGUUUUAACUUGAGUUUGUGUGUUUGUUUAACUUGAUUUUGUGUUAUGUUUGAACUUGAGUUUGUGGUGUUUUUGAACUUGAGUUUGUGGUGUUUUUGAACUUGAGUUUGUUUCGUGUUUGAACUUGAGUUUGUGGCGUUUGUUGAACUUGAGUUUCUGUUGUUUUUGAACUUGAAUUUGUGUCGUGUUUGAACUUGAGAUUGUGGCGUUUGUUGAACUUGAGUUUGUGUCGUGUUUGAACUUGAGUUUGUGGUGUUUUUGAACUUGAGUUUGUGGUGUUUUUGAACUUGAGUUUGUGGAAUUUGUUGAACUUGAGAAUUGGGUAUUGGUUGAACUUGAGUUUGUGUGUUUGUUGAACUUGAGUUUGUGUCGAGUUUGAACUUGAGUUUGUGGUGUGUUUUUACUUGAUUUUGUGUGUUUGUUGAACUUGAGUUUGUGUUUGAACUUGAGUUUGUGGUGUUUUUGAACUUGAGUUUGUGUCGUGUUUUAACUUGAGUUUGUGUGUUUGUUUAACUUGAUUUUGUGUUAUGUUUGAACUUGAGUUUGUGGUGUUUUUGAACUUGAGUUUGUGUGUUUGUUUAACUUGAUUUUGUGUUAUGUUUGAACUUGAGUUUGUGGUGUUUUUGAACUUGAGUUUGUGUGUUUGAUGAACUUGAGUUUGUAUUGUGUAUGAACUUGAGUUUGUGUUUCUUUUUAACUUGAGUUUGUGUGUUUGUUGAACUUGAGUUUGUUUCUUGUUUGAACUUGAGUUUGUGGCGUUUGUUGAACUUGAGUUUGUGUUGUGUUUUAACUUGAGUUUGUGGUGUUUUUGAACUUGAAUUUGCCUGUUUGGUUAACUUGAGUUUCUGUUGUUUUUGAACUUGAAGUUGUGGAAAUUGUUAAACUUGAGAAUCAGGUGCUGGUUGAACUUGAGUUUGUGUGUUUGUUGAACUUGAGUUUUUGGUGUUUUCGAACUUGAGGUUGUUGAAAUUGUUAAACUUGAGAAUUGGGUAUUGGUUGAACUUGAGUUUGUGAUUUUGUUGAACUUGAGUUUGGUUCGUGUUUUAACUUGAGUUUGUGAUGUUUUUGAACUUGAGUUUGUGUGUUGGUUGAACUUGAGUUUGUGUUGUGUUUGAACUUGAGUUUGUGGUGUUUUCUAACUUGAGUUUGUGUGUUUGUUGAACUUGAGUUUGUGUUGUGUUCGAACUUGAGGUUGUUGAAAUUGUUAAACUUGAGAAUUGGGUAUUGGUUGAACUUGAGUUUGUGAUUUUGUUGAACUUGAGUUUGGUUCGUGUUUUAACUUGAGUUUGUGAUGUUUUUGAACUUGAGUUUGUGUGUUUGUUGAACUUGAGUUUGUGUUGUGUUCGAACUUGAGUUUGUGGUGAUUUUGAUCUUGAGGUUGUGGAAUUUGUUAAACUUGAGAAUUGGGUAUUUGUUGAACUUGCUUUUUUAUGUUUUUUUAAUUGGGUUUGUGUAGUGUUUGGACCGGAGUUUGUCGUGUUUUUAAACUUGAGGUGCGUAUUUGUUGACCUUAAGUUUGUGUGUUUUUUGAACUUUAGUAUCUGUUGUUUUUUGAACUUGAAGUUGUGUUUUUUUUUUAACUUGAGGGUGUGGAAUUUUUUAAACUUGAGAAUUGGGUUUUGGUUGAACUUGAGUUUGUGGUGUUUUUUAACUUGAGUUUGUUUCGUGUUUGAACUUGAGUUUGUGGCGUUUGUUGAACUUGAGUUUGUGUCGUGUCUGAACUUGAGUUUGUGGUGUUUUUGAACAUGAGUUUGUGGUGUUUUUGAACAUGAGGGUGUGGAAUUUGUUAAACUUGAGAAUUGGGUAUUGGUUGAACUGAGUUUGUGUGUUUGUUGAACUUGAGUUUGUGUCGAGUUUGAACUUGAGUUUGUGGUGUUUUUUUACUUGAUUUUGUGUGUUUGAACUUGAGUUUGUGUUUGAACUUGAGUUUGUGGUGUUUUUGAACUUGAGUUUGUGUCGUGUUUUAACUUGAGUUUGUGUGUUUGUUUAACUUGAUUUUGUGUUAUGUUUGAACUUGAGUUUGUGGUGUUUUUGAACUUGAGUUUGUGUGUUUGAUGAACUUGAGUUUGUGUUGUGUUUGAACUUGAGUUUGUGGUUUUUUUUAAUUUGAGUUUGUGUGUUUGUUGAACUUGAGUUUGUUUCUUGUUUGAACUUGAGUUUGUGGCUUUUGUUGAAAUUGAGUUUGUGUUGUGUUUGAACUUGAGUUUGUGGCGUUUGUUGAACUUGAGUUUCUGUUGUUUUUGAACUUGAAUUUGUGUCGUGUUUGAACUUGAGUUUGUGGUGUUUUUGAACUUGAGGUGCGUGUUUGGUGACCUUGAGUUUGUGUGUUUUUUGAACUUGAGUAUCUGUUGUUUUUUGAACUUGAAGUAGUGGUUUUUUUUUUAACUUGAGGGUGUGGAAUUUGUUAAACUUGAGAAUUGGGUUUUGGUUGAACUUGAGUUUGUGGUGUUUUUGAACUUGAGUUUGUUUCGUGUUUGAACUUGAGUUUGUGGCGUUUGUAGAACUUGAGUUUCUGUUGUUUUUGAACUUGAAUUUGUGUCGUGUUUGAACUUGAGUUUGUGGCGUUUGUUGAACUUGAGUUUGUGUCGUGUCUGAACUUGAGUUUGUGGUGUUUUUGAACUUGAGUUUGUGGUGUUUUUGAACUUGAUUUUGUGUUUGAAGUUGAGUUUGUGGUGUUUUUGAACUUGAGUUUGUGUCGUGUUUUAACUUGUGUUUGUGUGCUUGUUUAACUUGAUUUUGUGUUAUGUUUGAACUUGACUUUGUGGGGUUUUUGAACUUGAGUUUGUGGUGUUUUUGAACUUGAGUUUGUGGCGUUUGUUGAACUUGACUUUCUGUUGUUUUUUAACUUGAAAUUGUCGUGUUUGAACUUGAGUUUGUGGCGUUUGUUGAACUUGAGUAUGUGGUGUUUUUGAACUUGAGGGUGUGGAAUUUGUUAAUCUUGAGAAUUGGGUAUUGGUUGAACUUGAGUUUGUGUUUUUGUUGAACUUGAGUUUGUGUCGAGUUUGAACUUGAGUUUUUGGUGUUUUUUAACUUGAUUUUGUGUGUUUGUUGAACUUGAGUUUGUUUUUGAACUUGAGUUUGUGGUGUUUUUUAACUUGAGUUUGUGUGUUUGUUUAACUUGAGUUUGUGUUGUGUUUGAACAUGAGUUUGUGGCGUUUGUUGAACUUGAGUUUGUGUAGUGUCUGAACUUGAGUUUGUGGUGUUUCUGAACUUGAGGGUCUGGAAUUUGUUAAACCUUAGAAUCGGGUGUUGGUUGAACUUGAGUUUGUUUGUUUUUUGAACUUGAGUUUGUGGUGUAUUUGAACUUGAGUUUGUGGUAUUUUUUAACUUGAUUUUGUGUCGUGUUUUAACUUGAGUUUGUGUGUUUGUUUAACUUGAUUUUGUGUUGUGUCUGAACUUGAGUUUGUGGUGUUUUUGAACUUGAGUUUGUUGAAAUUUUGAAACUUGAGAAUCAGGUGUUGGAUGAACUUCAGUUAGUGUGUAUGUUGAACUUGAGUUUGUAUCAUGUUGGAAAUUUAGUUUGUGGUGUUUGUUGAACUUGAGUUUGUGUAGUGUUUGAACUUGAGUUUGUGGUUUUUUUAACUUGAGUUUGUUUCUUUUUUGAACUUGAGUUUGUGGCGUUUGUUGAAAUUGAGUUUGUUUCAUGUUUGAACUUGAGUUUGUGAUGUUUUUGAACUUGAGUUUGUGUUUUUUUAACUUGAGGGUGUGGAAUUUGUUAAACUUUAGAAUUGGGUAUUGGUUGAACUUGAGUUUGUGAUGUUUGUUGAACUUGAGUUUGUGAUGUUUUUGAACUUGAGGUUGUGGAAAUUUUUAAACUUGAGAAUUGGGUAUUGGUUGAACUUGAGUUUGUGUGUUUGAACUUGAGGUUGUGGUUUUUUUGGACUUGAGUUUGUGUCGUGUUCAAACUUGAGGGUUUGGAAUUUGUUAAACUUGAGAAUUGGGUAUUGGUUGAAUUUGAGUUUGUGUGUUUGUUGAACUUGAGUUUGUGUCAUGUUUGAACUUGAGUUUGUGGUCUUUUUGAACUUGAGUUUGUGUGUUUGUUGAACUUGAGUUGUGGCGUUUGUUGAACUCUAGGUUGUGGCAAUUGUUAAACUUGAGAUUUGGUUGUUGGUUGAACUUGAGUUUGUGUCGUGUUUGAACAUGAGUUUGUGGCGUUUGUUGAACUUGAGUUUGUGUCGUGUCUAAACUUGAGUUUGUGGUGUUUUUGAACUUGAGUUUGUGGCGUUUGUUGAACUUGACUUUCUGUUGUUUUUUAACUUGAAAUUGUCGUAUUUGAACUUGAGUUUGUGGCGUUUGUUGAACUUGAGUAUGUGGUGUUUUUGAACUUGAGGGUGUGGAAUUUGUUAAUCUUGAGAAUUGGGUAUUGGUUGAACUUGAGUUUGUGUUUUUGUUGAACUUGAGUUUGUGUCGAGUUUGAACUUGAGUUUUUGGUGUUUUUUAACUUGAUUUUGUGUGUUUGUUGAACUUGAGUUUGUUUUUGAACUUGAGUUUGUGGUGUUUUUUAACUUGAGUUUGUGUGUUUGUUUAACUUGAGUUUGUGUUGUGUUUGGACAUGAGUUUGUGGCGUUUGUUGAACUUGAGUUUGUGUAGUGUCUGAACUUGAGUUUGUGGUGUUUCUGAACUUGAGGGUCUGGAAUUUGUUAAACCUUAGAAUCGGGUGUUGGUUGAACUUGAGUUUGUUUGUUUUUUGAACUUGAGUUUGUGGUGUAUUUGAACUUGAGUUUGUGGUAUUUUUUAACUUGAUUUUGUGUCGUGUUUUAACUUGAGUUUGUGUGUUUGUUUAAACUUGAUUUUGUGUUGUGUCUGAACUUGAUUUUGUGUUGUGUCUGAACUUGAGUUUGUGGUGUUUUUGAACUUGAGUUUGUUGAAAUUUUGAAACUUGAGAAUCAGGUGUUGGAUGAACUUCAGUUAGUGUGUAUGUUGAACUUGAGUUUGUAUCAUGUUGGAAAUUUAGUUUGUGGUGUUUGUUGAACUUGAGUUUGUGUAGUGUUUGAACUUGAGUUUGUGGUUUUUUUAACUUGAGUUUGUUUCUUUUUUGAACUUGAGUUUGUGGCGUUUGUUGAAAUUGAGUUUGUUUCAUGUUUGAACUUGAGUUUGUGAUGUUUUUGAACUUGAGUUUGUGUUUUUUUAACUUGAGGGUGUGGAAUUUGUUAAACUUUAGAAUUGGGUAUUGGUUGAACUUGAGUUUGUGAUGUUUGUUGAACUUGAGUUUGUGAUGUUUUUGAACAUGAGGUUGUGGAAAUUGUUAAACUUGAGAAUUGGGUAUUGGUUGAACUUUAGUUUGUGUGUUUGAACUUGAGGUUGUGGUGUUUUUGGACUUGAGUUUGUGUCGUGUUUGUACUUGAGGGUGUGGAAUUUGUUAAACUUGAGAAUUGGGUAUUGGUUGAAUUUGAGUUUGUGUGUUUGUUGAACUUGAGUUUGUGUCAUGUUUGAACUUGAGUUUGUGGUCUUUUUGAACUUGAGUUUGUGUGUUUGUUGAACUUGAGUUGUGGCGUUUGUUGAACUCUAGGUUGUGGCAAUUGUUAAACUUGAGAUUUGGUUGUUGGUUGAACUUGAGUUUGUGUCGUGUUUGAACAUGAGUUUGUGGCGUUUGUUGAACUUGAGUUUGUGUCGUGUCUAAACUUGAGUUUGUGGUGUUUUUGAACUUGAGUUUUCUGGUGUUUUUGAACUUGAGGGUGUGGAAUUUGUUAAACCUUAGAAUCGGGUGUUGGUUGAACUUGAGUUUGUUUGUUUUUUGAACUUGAGUUUGUGGUGUAUUUGAACUUGAGUUUGUGGUGUUUUUUAACUUGAUUUUGUGUCGUGUUUUAACUUGAGCUUGUGUGUUUGUUUAACUUGAUUUUGUGUUGUGUCUGAACUUGAGUUUGUGGUGUUUUUGAACUUGAGUUUGUUGAAAUUUUGAAACUUUAGAAUCAGGUGUUGGAUGAACUUCAGUUAGUGUGUAUGUUGAACUUGAGUUUGUAUCAUGUUGAAAAUGUAGUUUGUGGUGUUUGUUGAACUUGAGUUUGUGUUGUGUUUGAACUUGAGUUUGUGGUUUUUUUUACUUGAGUUUGUUUCUUGUUUGAACUUUAGUUUGUGGCGUUUGUUGAAAUUGAGUUUGUGUUGUGUUUGAACUUGAGUUAAUGGGGUUUUUAACUUGAGUUUGUGUUUUUUUUUCACUUGAGGGUGUGGAAUUUGUUAAACCUUAGAAUCGGGUGUUGGUUGAACUUGAGUUUUAUUUGUUUUUUGAACUUGAGUUUGUGGUGUAUUUGAACUUGAGUUUGUGGUGUUUUUUAACUUGAUUUUGUGUCGUGUUUUAACUUGAGUUUGUGUGUUUGUUUAACUUGAUUUUGUGUUGUGUCUGAACUUGAGUUUGUGGUGUUUUUGAACUUGAGUUUGUUGAAAUUUUGAAACUUGAGAAUCAGGUGUUGGAUGAACUUCAGUUAGUGUGUAUGUUGAACUUGAGUUUAUAUCAUGUUGUAAAUUUAGUUUGUGGUGUUUGUUGAACUUGAGUUUGUGUCGUGUUUGAACUUGAGUUUUUGGUGUUUUUGAACUUGAGGUUGUGGAAAUUGUUAAACUUGAGAAUUGGGUAUUGGUUGAACUUGAUUUUUUUGUGUUUUUAACUAGAGUUUGUGUCGUGUUUGAACUUGAGUUUGUGGUUUUUUUUAACUUGAGUUUCUGUUGUUUUUGAACUUGAGGUAUUGGAAAUUGUUAAACCUUUGAAUUAGGUGUUGGUUGAACUUGAGUUUGUGUGUUUGUUGAACUUGAGUUUGUGUCAUGUUUGAACUUUAGCUUGUGGUGUUUUUUAACUUUAGUUUGUGUGUUUGAACUUGAGGUUGUGGUGUUUUUGGACUUGAGUUUGUGUCGUGUUUAAACUUGAGGGUGUGGAAUUUGUUUAACUUGACAAUUUGGUAUUGGUUAAACUUGAGUUUGUGGGGUUUUCCUGAACUUGAGUUUGUGGAAAUUGUUUAACUUGAAAAUCAGGUGUUGGAUGAACAUGAGUUCGUGUUUGUUGAACUUGAGUUUGUGUUGUGUUGGAACUUAAGUUUUUGGUGUUUUUGAUCUUGAGUUUGUGUGUUUUUGAACUUGAAUUUUUGGUGUUUUUGAACUCGAGCUUGUGGAAGUUGUUAAACUUGAGAAUUGGGUAUUGGUUGAACUUGAGUUUUUUGUGUUUUUGAACUUGAGUUUGUGUCGUGUUUGAACUUGAGUUUAUGGUGUUUUUGAACUUGAGUUUGUGGUGUUUUUGAACUUGAGGUUGUGGAAUUUGUUAAACUUGAGAAUUGGGUAUUGGUUGAACUGAUUUUUUUGUGUUUUUGAUCUUGAGUUUGUGUCGUGUUUGAACUUGAGUUUAUGGGUUUAUUUAACUUGAAUUUGCAUGUUUGGUGAACAUGAGUUUUCGUGUUUUUUGAACUUGAGUUUCUGUUUUUUUUAACUUGAGGUUGUGGAAAUUGUUAAACCUUAGAAUCUGGUGUUGGUUGAACUUGAGUUUGUUUGUUUUUUGAACUUGAGUUUGUGGUGUAUUUGAACUUGAGUUUGUGGUGUUUAUGAACUUGAGUUUGUGUGUUUGUUGAACUUGAGUUUGUGUUGUUUUUGAACUUGAGUUUUUGGUGGUCUUGAACUUGAGGUUGAGGAAAUUGUUAAACUUAAGAAUUGGGUAUUGGUUGAACUUGCGUUUUUUGUGUUUUUAAAUUGGGUUUGUGUAGUGUUUGAACUUGAGUUUUUGGUGUUUUUGAACUUGAGUUUGUCUGUGUUUGAACUUGAGUUUUUGGCGUUUGUUGAACUUGAGUUUGUGUGUUUGUUGAACUUGAGUUUGUGUUAUGUUUGAACUUGAGUUUGUGUCGUGUAUGAACUUGAGUUUGUGUCGUGUUUUUGAACUUGAGUUUUUGGUGUUUUUGAACUUGAGGGUGUGGAAUUUGUUAAACUUGAGAAUUGGGUAUUGGUUGAAUUUGAGUUUGUGUCUUGUUUGAACUUGAGUUUGUGGUCUUUUUGAACUUGAGUUUGUGUGUUUGUUGAACUUGAGUUGUGGCGUUUGUUGAACUCUAGGUUGUGGCAAUUGUUAAACUUGAGAUUUGGUUGUUGGUUGAACUUGAGUUUGUGUCGUGUUUGAACUUGAGUUCGUGUUGUUUGAUGAACUUGAAUUUGUGUGUUUUUUUAACUUAAUUUUUUUGAACUUGAGUUUGUGGCAAUUGUUGAACUUGAGUCUGUGGUUUUUGGUGAACUUUAAUUGGUGGCAAUUGUUGAACUUGAGUUUUUGGUGAUUUUGAACUUGAGUUUGUUUCGUGUUUGAACUUUGUUUGUGGUGUUUUUGAACUUGAGUUUUUGGUGUUUUUGAACUUGAGGGUGUGUUGUGUUUUUGAACUUGAGUUUGUGGUGUUUUUGAACUUGAGUUUGUUUCGUGUUUGAACUUGAGUUUUUGGCGUUUGUUGAACUCUAGGUUGUGGCAAUUGUUGAACUUGAGAUUUGGGUGUUGGUUCAACUUAAAAGUUUGGCAUUUGUUGAACAUGAGUUUGUGUCUUUGUUGAACUUAAGUUUGUGUCUUUUUUGAACUUGGGUUUGUGUGUUUUUUGAACUUUAGUUUUUGGUGUCUUUGAACUUGAGUUUGUGGUGUUUUUGAACUUGAGUUUGAAUCGUGUUUGAACUUGAGUUUGUGGUGUUUUUGAACUUGAGUUUGUGGUGUUUUCUACUUGAGUUUGUGUCAUUUUUCAAC
rnacentral:lncRNA from 1 species